rnacentral:tRNA from 1 species
GGCAGUGUGGUGCAGUGGUAAGGUGCAGGGCUUGUAACCGAAAGGCUGCGGGUUCAAUUCCCCGCUGAGGCACUGCUG